AGGUUGCUGCGGCGUGCGUGAGACAGCACUGUCCCAGAGGCCGAUGAUCUUUCGCUUGGGGGCUGUCCCUGACCGGGCCGUGGUUCGGUCACUAUGGUUCCCACCUUGUUGUACAAGGGCCUAGCGGAUAUCCCCGUCCACGGCGCAGGUGGCACCUUC
rnacentral:other from 1 species